rnacentral:rRNA from 1 species
GAUGAACGCUGGCGGCGUGCCUAAUACAUGCAAGUCGAGCGAACGGACGAGAAGCUUGCUUUUCUGAUGUUAGCGGCGGACGUGUGAGUAACACGUGGAUAACCUACCUAUAAGACUGGGAUAACUUCGGGAAACCGGCGCUAAUACCGGAUAAUAUUUUGAACCGCAUGGUUCAAAAGUGAAAGACGGUUUUGCUGUCACUUAUAGAUGGAUCCGCGCUGCAUUAGCUAGUUGGUAAGGUAACGGCUUACCAAGGCAACGAUGCAUAGCCGACCUGAGAGAGUGAUCGGCCACACUGGAACUGAGACGCCGACCAGACUCCUACGGGAGGCAGCAGUAGGGAAUCUUCCGCAAUGGGCGAAAGCCUGACGGAGCAACGCCGCGUGAGUGAUGAAGGUCUUCGGAUCGUAAAACUCUGUUAUUAGGGAAGAACAUAUGUGUAAGUAACUGUGCACAUCUUGACGGUACCUAAUAAGAAAGCCACGGCUAACUACGUG